rnacentral:rRNA from 1 species
UACGGAGGGUGCGAGCGUUGUCCGGAAUCACUGGGCGUAAAGGCGCGUAGGCGGCCUGAUAAGUAGGGGGUGAAAUCCUGCGGCUUAACCGCAGGGCUGCCUUCUAAACUGUCAGGCUGGAGCACAGUAGAGGCAGGUGGAAUUCCCGGUGUAGCGGUGGAAUGCGUAGAGAUCGGGAAGAACACCCGUGGCGAAGGCGGCUCUCUGGGACGGUACUGACGCUGAGACGCGAAAGCGUGGGGAGCGAACAGG